rnacentral:rRNA from 1 species
GACGAACGCUGGCGGCGCGCUUAACACAUGCAAGUCGAGCGGAAAGGCCUGCUUUCCCUUGUGGAUUGCGGGUACUCGAGUGGCGAACGGGUGAGUAACACGUGAGUGAUCUGCCCCCAACUUGGGUAUAAGCCUGGGAAACUGGGUCUAAUUCCCGAUAGGACUGCAGGGUGGUGCCUGUGGUGGAAAACGAUUUUCUAGUGGUUGGGGAUGAGCUCGCGGCCUAUCAGCUUGUUGGUGGGGUAAUGGCCUACCAAGGCGGCGACGGGUAGCCGGCCUGAGAGGGUGGACGGCCACAUUGGGACUGAGAUACGGCCCAGACUCCUACGGGAGGCAGCAGUGGGGAAUAUUGCACAAUGGGCGGAAGCCUGAUGCAGCGACGCCGCGUGGGGGAUGACGGCCUUCGGGUUGUAAACUCCUUUCGACCGCGAGGAAGCCACCUGGUUGGAAGGGUGGUGACGGUAGCGGUAGAAGAAGCACCGGCUAACUACGUG